rnacentral:lncRNA from 1 species
CAGGGGUCCAUUUGUCUACCCCCAUCCCAGGGACACCCUGCCCUCUGGUGGCCAACUGGAGAAUACAUGCGGAGAAUGACAAAUUCCCUAACCCCCUGCACAGGUUAAGAGAUGAGACUCUCUAAUAAGACAAGCAGUCAGCCAGUGGGUCUAGGGAGGCGGUAAGUGCCCCACCACUGGAGGAAUCUGGGAUGAGACUAAAUUACAACCCUGGAUGCGACCCAAAAUAUGUAACAACAGAACUAUCCAAGCCCCAGACCAUCAGCAUGAGCCAUCUUCAACAGCCAGGACAGCUGAGGCUGGGCACCCCAACUAAUUGUUGUUGCUGUGACCACUCUCAGAGCGAGAUGAGUGCUAAUGUCCCUCUGCCUCGAAAGGUCUAUCACGGAGAAAAAUGAGGAAGCAAGCAGAAGCCUUGGGUCAGCAGCUGCAGGGGUCCCAGUGGCCCCAGGCAGCCAGCAUGUUCCUGGUUCCUGGGGGACCUGCCGAGAACCCAGGCCAUCUCCCAAGGGGAUAAGGCAGCAGGACCUCCACACCACAGCCAGUCCCUUUGACAGUCUCUCCUCCAGUCUGGUCCUUUAGAAAGACCCCCGACCCUUUAGCCCCUGAAGCAGCCAAGACAGAUCCACUGCAUGUCCCAGGUGAGGCCCAUGGAGGCCUGGAGCCAAGAUAUAGCAAAGAACCAGAAGGAGAGGCCAAGUAGAGGAGAUAUUUCCAAGGCUUGGUCAACAAGGCUUGGUGAUGAUCAGAUUGCGGAUGAGGAGGACGAGCUUUGGAAAGAGAUGAAGAGUUUCCAGGAAGUUGCCAGAUCUCUCUGAAUUCCACUAAUAAAGACAUUGGAAAGAAGUAGUUUAAAAGCAAAAGAUAUUCUACCAUUUUCUAAAUCUAAAAAUUAAUAAACGUGUAGACCCAGGGAUCUAGAAUAAACCUCCCAAAUUUAGCACUGACUGCACUUCCAGGUGAAAAAUAUAACAGAA